rnacentral:rRNA from 1 species
UGGGGAAUAUUGGACAAUGGGCGAAAGCCUGAUCCAGCCAUGCCGCGUGUGUGAAGAAGGUCUUCGGAUUGUAAAGCACUUUAAGUUGGGAGGAAGGGCAGUAAGCGAAUACCUUGCUGUUUUGACGUUACCGACAGAAUAAGCACCGGCUAACUCUGUGCCAGCAGCCGCGGUAAUACAGAGGGUGCAAGCGUUAAUCGGAAUUACUGGGCGUAAAGCGCGCGUAGGUGGUUCGUUAAGUUGAAUGUGAAAGCCCCGGGCUCAACCUGGGAACUGCAGCCGAAACUGGCGAGCUAGAGUAGGGCAGAAGGAGGUAGAAUUUCCUGUGUAGCGGUGAAAUGCGUAGAUAUAGGAAGGAACACCAGUGGCGAAGGCGACCACCUGGGCUCGUACUGACACUGAGGUGCGAAAGCGUGGGGAGCAAACAGG